rnacentral:tRNA from 1 species
GGGGUUGUGGCUCAGCGGUAGAACACUCGCCUAGCAUGUGAGAGGCGCUGGGUUCAAGCCUCAGCACCACA